CGACACCUGCCCCGACAACAACUACUGAGGCAACAACGACACCUGCCCCGACAACGACAAUUGCUGCACCAAACACGACUUUUACUGUUCAACCUAUUUACUACAUCUUAAUAAUUUUGGAAAUUUCUUUUUCAAUUGACCUCACUAACCCCAACAGCAGUCUAUACAAAGAUCUUGAGCAUCGAGUUGUAGCUACGUGUGAGUUCAUAUACAGACCAAGAUUUGUUCAUUUUGACCACUGUACUGUGACAAUGUUCAGGAGUGUCCAAAUUCGAGCCGAUGGAACUGAAGCAGAGCUGCAGAUUGUGUUCAAUCAGAAAACUCGCUCUGCAGAACUCCCACAGAACAGUGUCGUUGCUCAAACCUUAGUAGAGGCUGUGAGUAAUACCAACAACAGCUUCAAUGUGACCAUAAAUCCCAAGAAAGUCAA